GGAUUUGAGGGCAGUCUUCCUGUGACAUCUGUCACCCACUGAUUGCCAGGAUUGAUUCUGCUGAUCUGGCUGGCUAGGUGGGUGUCCCUGUCCUCAUUCAUCGCUCCACGUGUGUCCCUCCUGAAGCAGCAUGCUCAGUUGAAAAAGAAGAAGACAAUCUUCCCCAAAUAGAGAUGGACCAGAUCUUUGGUGGAGGGUUUACAAGUAGCUGGGCUCCCCUGCUAGAACCUCCAAAAAAGCUCUUGAGAAAUAUAUAUUUUAAAGUAUAUUAUACUUGAGGAGCAACUGAUGUAUGAUUGUAUUUCCCUGUCAAUUAAUUAAAAAUAUUGUCAUAUCAA
rnacentral:snRNA from 1 species